AGAGUUUGAUCCUGGCUCAGGACGAACGCUGGCGGCGUGCUUAACACAUGCAAGUCGAACGGAAAGGCCCUUUCGGGGGUACUCGAGUGGCGAACGGGUGAGUAACACGUGGGUGACCUGCCCUCCACUCUGGGAUAAGCCCGGGAAACUGGGUCUAAUACCGGAUAGGACACGUUGAUGCAUGUCUUCGUGUGGAAAGUUUUUUCGGUGGGGGAUGGGCCCGCGGCCUAUCAGCUUGUUGGUGGGGUGAUGGCCUACCAAGGCGGUGACGGGUAGCCGGCCUGAGAGGGCGACCGGCCACACUGGGACUGAGACACGGCCCAGACUCCUACGGGAGGCAGCAGUGGGGAAUAUUGCGCAAUGGGCGAAAGCCUGACGCAGCGACGCCGCGUGAGGGAUGACGGCCUUCGGGUUGUAAACCUCUUUCAGCAGGGACGAAGCGCUUGUGACGGUACCUGCAGAAGAAGCGCCGGCUAACUACGUGCCAGCAGCCGCGGUAAUACGUAGGGUGCGAGCGUUGUCCGGAAUUAUUGGGCGUAAAGAGCUCGUAGGCGGUUUGUCGCGUCUGCUGUGAAAACGCGGGGCUUAACUCCGCGCCUGCAGUGGGUACGGGCAGACUAGAGUGCGGUAGGGGAGACUGGAAUUCCUGGUGUAGCGGUGAAAUGCGCAGAUAUCAGGAGGAACACCGGUGGCGAAGGCGGGUCUCUGGGCAGUCACUGACGCUGAGGAGCGAAAGCAUGGGGAGCGAACAGGAUUAGAUACCCUGGUAGUCCAUGCCGUAAACGAUGAUCAUUAGCCGGUAGAAAUUUUACUGGCGCAGCUAACGCAUUAAAUGAUCCGCCUGAGUAGUAUGCUCGCAAGAGUGAAACUUAAAGGAAUUGACGGGGACCCGCA
rnacentral:rRNA from 1 species